UACGGAGGAUCCAAGCGUUGUCCGGAAUUAUUGGGCGUAAAGAGCUCGUAGGCGGUUUGUCGCGUCUGCCGUGAAAGUCCGGGGCUCAACUCCGGAUCUGCGGUGGGUACGGGCAGACUAGAGUGAUGUAGGGGAGACUGGAAUUCCUGGUGUAGCGGUGAAAUGCGCAGAUAUCAGGAGGAACACCGAUGGCGAAGGCAGGUCUCUGGGCAUUAACUGACGCUGAGGAGCGAAAGCAUGGGGAGCGAACAGG
rnacentral:rRNA from 1 species